UACGGAGGGUGCAAGCGUUGUCCGGAUUUAUUGGGUUUAAAGGGUGCGUAGGUGGCUUAUUAAGUCAGUGUUUAAAGUCUGCAGCUUAACUGUAGGAAUGGCAUUGAUACUGAUAGGCUUGAGUAAAGUUGAGGUAGGCGGAAUUGAAGGUGUAGCGGUGAAAAUGCAUAGAUAUCUUCAAGAACACCGAUUGCGAAGGCAGCUUACUAAGCUUUAACUGACACUGAGGCACGAAAA
rnacentral:rRNA from 1 species